rnacentral:rRNA from 1 species
UACGUAGGGUGCGAGCGUUGUCCGGAAUUACUGGGCGUAAAGAGCUCGUAGGUGGUUUGUCGCGUCGUCUGUGAAAUUCCGGGGCUUAACUCCGGGCGUGCAGGCGAUACCGGCAAUACUUGAGUGCUGUAGGGGAGGACUGGAAUUCCUGGUGUAGCGGUGAAAUGCGCAGAUAUCAGGAGGAACACCAAUGGCGAAGGCAGGUCUCUGGGCAGUAACUGACGCUGAGGAGCGAAAGCAUGGGUAGCGAACAGGAUUAGA